rnacentral:rRNA from 1 species
AUACGGAGGAUCCGAGCGUUAUCCGGAUUUAUUGGGUUUAAAGGGUGCGCAGGCGGCCAUUUAAGUCAGCGGUUAAAUCGUGGGGCUCAACCCCAUUCUGCCGUUGAUACUGGGUGGCUUGAUUGCGGUCGAGGUUGGCGGAAUUCGUUGUGUAGCGGUGGAAUGCAUAGAUAUGACGAAGAACACCGAUUGCGUAGGCAGCUGACCAGACCGCAAAUGACGCUCAUGCACGAAAGUGCGGGGAUCGAACAGGAUUAGAUACCCUGGUAGUCCGCACAGUAAACGAUGAAUACUUGUUUUCGGCGAUAUAAUGUCGGAGGCAAAGCGAAAGCGAUAAGUAUUCCACCUGGGGAGUACGCCGGCAACGGUGAAACUCAAAGGAAUUGACGGGG